AGGUCCCAGGAUCAAGACCAAGACCCAAAUCUGUUUGUUUACCUUUGACACGUGGAUUCGUGGAGUACCUGACAGGACACGCCUUCGCCUGGACCACACACGCCUCAGCGCCUACCUCCACCGCCUGCGCCUGACCUCCGACCCUCACUGCCCCUGGUGGUGCAGGACCGUCGAGGAGACCAUUGAGCACCUCCUGCUGCACUGCCCACGCUUCCACUCCAAGCGAGUGCUGCUCAGACACCACCUCCGCGCCCUAGGCGUGCCCACCUUUAACCUGCCCACGCUGCUGGCGGUGGCAGGCGUCCACCCCUCACGACAAUAAGCUGUCAUCCGCCUCACCUGCGCCUUCCCCAGGAAGACGGGGCAGCUGACGCGCCUGUGAAGCCCUGACAGGACGACACCAGGGCUCAGGUGAGCGACUAGAUCGCCGCCGCCCGAAACAACAACAACAACAACAAUGUCGGGGAUGUCCCAUCCGUGUUCCCUCUGUGGAAGACGGAAGGGAAAGGAUGCCAAUCUUAUUUUUCACGUAUUCCUGAAGGAUGAAAAAAGAAGUACACCCGAUGGCUGGCCGGACCCUAUCUCUCCUUCGGGGGCCAAGUUGUGAUUUGCUUGGCAGGAGCCGUGGUGCGGAACACAGGGGGCUGAGUGUGACGCUCUUUGUUCGCCGCUAUGAUGAUGAUGUGGUUUGGCUACUACCAGCUGAGAGGCCACAGCAAGCUGUCCUGAAGACCAGCCAGCAACCCGGACUCUAGAGCAGUGGUUUGCAUUGAAUUGAAUGGCUGAACGGACAUCUCUGGCGUCUUGGUCAAGCAGCACACUCUAGAAGAAGAAAGAACAAGAUGUCAAGUUCCUGCAGAAUCAGCCUCUUAGUGAAGGAAAUGUGCUCUAUUUAUUUAAUAAAUAAUUGACAAAAAAAAUAAUUUUGUGUUUAUUGUAGAAAAACUAUAUG